UGCUAUUUUGGAAGAUAUGUUGAAGAAACUUCAGAGUAUGACGAGGGAGCAGAGUUUUUUGAUCGUCCUCGAUGAUGUAUGGAAUGUGGACAUAAAUGGUUGGGAUAAACUGCCCAGAGCCUUAGCUCGUGGGGCAAGGGGAAGCACUGUAUUGUUAACAACUCAAUAUAAAAGAGUAGCAAAAAUCAUGUGCACUAUGGACCCUAUAAAACUAGAUGUUCUAAAGGAAGAUGACUAUCGAAAACUUUUAGAACAACGCACAUUUGGUGGUCAGAUUCUUGAGGAACACACAAGGCAAGAUUUACAAUCAAUUGGUAGGAAAAUGUCUAUACUGCGACGCUUACCUCUGGCAGCAAACGCACUGGGAAAUUUGUUAAGGUUCAAUCUGGAUUCGAAUUACUGGAAGACAUUCUUGAAUAGUAAAUGGUGGGAACAUGAAGCAGUUUUAAAAGAUGUACUACCAUCUCUGGGAUUGAAUUAUCAAAACCUAGAUGCAACUUAGAAACUAUGCUUUGCUUAUUGUUACAUAUUUCCCAGCAGUCACAAAUUCGAGGAUAUAGCUCAGGGUUUCAUCCAGCCCAAGAUCGGGGGAAAAAUGAGAAUAGAGGAUAUAGGGAGGCAGGUAUUUGCCGAACUUGUAGAUAGGAAUUUCUUCCAAAGGAGAUCUGAAACUGAAAAUGAGUAUGUGAUGCAUGAUAUAAUUAGAGAGUUGGCAGUAUAUCUUUCUUCGAAUGAUUGUUUUGUGAUUAAUGAUGAGACUGAACAAAUUCAACCAGGAGUGCGCCAUCUAACUGUUACAACUAGCAAAUUGGAUGCAUUUAAUGAUUUGAGCAUGGUUGAAAAUUUGAGAACCUUUUUGUUCUUUGGCGAUUAUGAAACAGAUGAAUUUUAUAAGGUUCUUAAGAGCAUUUUAAAAUACUCGAAAAGCCUGCGAGUGUUGGAUUUAUCUUACAAUAAUACAGAAAUCAGCAAACUACCAAAAGCUUGUCACAUCUACGGUACCUGGAUAUCUCUAACACUAAAAUCUGUUGGUUGCCGAAGCUAUUUUGUAAGCUUUACCAUCUACAGGUGCUGAACUUGCAGCUGUGCAAUUUUAAUGAGUUACCUGAAGAAAUGAACAAGUUGACCAACUUGCACCAUUUAUGUGCAGAAUCUAAGACAGUUUCUCUAAUAUCUGGGAUUGGGAAACUUACUUGCCUUCAAGAACUAAAGGAAUUCCAUGUUGGAAAGAAGAAGGGUCACAAGAUAGAAGAAUUAAAGGACCUAAAAGAACUUCGAGGGCAGCUAUUAAUUCAGAAUCUUGAGAAUAUUGAUAGGAAGGAAGAGGCCAUGAAUGCUAAACUAAGGGAAAAGAGGCACCUUGAUGCACUGCAUCUUUAUUUUGAGAUAAAGGAUGGACUAGUGACUAGAUCCGGCUUCAUUUUAACAAGAAUGCUCAAAGUAUUUUCAAAAAGCGAAAUGCACCUAACUUGAAAGGGCUACUUGAGGGGCUCGAACCUUAUUGUGAUAUCAAGGAACUAGUAAUCAAGGGUUAUGAUAGCGAUAUGUUUCCAAGUUGGCUGGUCAAUAGAGAACGUCUCACUAGUCUAAAAUCUAUUCAUCUAAGUUCUUGUGAAAAGUUGACAAGCCUUCCACCCCUUGGCCAACUUCCCUCUCUCAGGGUCCUGCAUAUUGAAACAUUGCCUGCACUGAGAAAAAUCGGUGUUGAACUCUAUGGCAGUGUUAAUGGUGCGUUUCCAUCUUUGGAGGAGCUGAAACUACAGGACUUGAAGGAAUUUGAGGAGUGGUCACAAGUACAAGGCCAGUAGUUAUUUCCUUGCCUCCGAAAACUCCACAUAGAGCAAUGUUUGAAGUUGACAAAAUUUGCCCUCCUCAUGCUAAACUUACCAGUUACAGAGCUCAAAAUCAACUCAUGUGGUGACCUUAGCAGCGCAGUACCUGAAUAUCUACAAAGACUCACCUCGCUCACCAUGUUAAAGAUUUCUCAUUACCCACACAUGACAUCUCUGUCUUUGUCUAACCUGGUUGCCCCUACAGACUUAUGUCUUUCAAACUGCCCAGAGCUGAGUUUCCAAGGGGAAUUACAGUCCCUCACUGAUCUGAAGCAGUUAGAGAUUGCAGGAUGUCCAAAGUUAUGUGAGUCGUUACACCCAGAGCAACCACUGCAGAACUAGGGUUUGCUAUCUCUCAAUGAACUACAUAUGGAUGACAGCCUCCUAGUCAACAAUCUUGGGAUUCUCCUGACAAGCCUACCUGCGCUCCAGAUUCUGAAUAUUUUCAGUUGCAGUCAUCUUGUUUGCUUAAGUGAAGAGCAGGAGAUGUGGUUUCGGCAACUAACCUCUCUCCAAGAGCUACAGUUUUCUAAUUGUGACAAUCUCCAGCAUCUGCCUAAUAAUUUGGUAACCCUUUCCUUGCUCAAGACGUUGACCAUAUGCGACUGUCCUGAGGUCAUGUCAUUGCCAGAGAAUCUCUUGGCUGCCUCACUUAAAGAAUUGCAUUUCUCAGGAUGCCGGCCAUUGAAGGAACGGUACCAAAAGGAGGGAGGACCAGAUUGGCAAAACAUUGCUCAUGUACCUUGCAUAUGUAUUGACCACAAGACCAUACAAAUGCUUCAAGAAGAAAGCUCAGACACGGCUGCUACUUCUAUGUCUUAGGUUGCAUUGGACCAGCCAACUUCAAGGAUGCGACAAGCUUCAGACAUGCUGCGAUGUUCCACAAGGAAGCCAGCUUCCAAAUGUUCUAAACUGGAAAGCACUUCAUAGGAUCCUGACAUGCUGUAAUGGACUCUCAUUUGGAAUGCCACAAAGUUGUUGAAGUUAAAUAUGAGUAGUUUGGGGUGUCACAAAAUAUGAUGUAAGGUCUUAUUGGACGCAUAUAUUCUCCACAUGCCCAAUGUUCAGCACCAUCUGGAAAGCAAUCUGCUCAGAGCUGGGGGAUCUUCAUGCACAAUCCUCUUUCGACUAUCUCUGCACUGAUUGGGUCCAGCAGAACUUUGCUAAGAACAGCCGGCACAUUAUACUAAUGCUGCUCGUAGCCGUGGCUUGGUCUUGUUGGAGAGAAAGGAACGCCAGACUUUUCCUUAACAAGCACAGACCCAUUGACUUAAUUGCCACUGAAGCACUGCAUACAUUCAAUGAUCGGUCACUAAUCUGUAGAUACAGCACUCUUGCAGAUUUUGCUGUGGACUAGGGUGAGGCAUUUUCACAGUCAUCUGGUCGACCUCUGAAUUCUACCUGCACCUUUUUGGUAUCUUUAGCAAUUGAAGAUGACAGGUGGCAUGGGCUUUGGCACAGACUCUGGCACAGCACAGGCUCUGGCAUGAAUUUCUCUCUGCUACUGGAAAACACUGAUGGUGUCAUCCCCAACUCCUUUACUUGAACGGCUGAAAACUCUAGUCACUGGGUCUUCUUUGGCAAACACUUCGACCGGCUCAUGGGUAAGGAGAAUGAAGAGCUGUAGAAUGAUGAGAUUGCUCCUGGGGCUUUACACAUUUGAGGUUCUUGAUGCUGGAGAUGCUCCCAAUUUUGGUUCAUCAAUUCUCUGCUAAUGUAACUGAUCACUUGAUCUCACUCCUUUUGUAAAUACUUUUUCAUCUUCAAUAAAAGCCAGGUGGCUAUUUACUUAGCCUGCUUUUCCAUCAAAAAAA